GGCCCUUUCAGGGUCCGAGUUGUAAUUUGUAGAGGAUGCUUCGGCGUCGGCCCCGUUCUAAGUUCCUUGGAACAGGACGUCCUAGAGGGUGAGAACCCCGUCUUCGAUCGGGUCGCCGUCGCCAUGUGAAGCUCCUUCGACGAGUCGAGUUGUUUGGGAAUGCAGCUCUAAGCGGGAGGUAAAUUUCUUCUAAAGCUAAAUAACGGCCAGAGACCGAUAGCGCACAAGUAGAGUGAUCGAAAGAUGAAAAGCACUUUGGAAAGAGAGUUAAAAAGCACGUGAAAUUGUUAAAAGGGAAGGGAUUGCAA
rnacentral:rRNA from 1 species